AUUGAACGCUGGCGGCAGGCCUAACACAUGCAAGUCGAGCGGCAGCGGGAAAGUAGCUUGCUACUUUUGCCGGCGAGCGGCGGACGGGUGAGUAAUGCCUGGGAAAUUGCCCAGUCGAGGGGGAUAACAGUUGGAAACGACUGCUAAUACCGCAUACGCCCUACGGGGGAAAGCAGGGGACCUUCGGGCCUUGCGCGAGUGGAUAUGCACAGGUGGGAUUAGCUAGUUGGUGAGGUAAUGGCUCACCAAGGCGACAAUCCCUAGCUGGUCUGAGAGGAUGAUCAGCCACACUGGAACUGAGACACGGUCCAGACUCCUACGGGAGGCAGCAGUGGGGAAUAUUGCACAAUGGGGGAAACCCUGAUGCAGCCAUGCCGCGUGUGUGAAGAAGGCCUUCGGGUUGAAAAGCACUUUCAGCGAGGAGGAAAGGUUGAUGCCUAAUACGCAUCAACUGUGACGUUACUCGCAGAAGAAGCACCGGCUAACUCCGUGCCAGCCGCCGCAGUAAAAC
rnacentral:rRNA from 1 species